GAGUAAACUCUAAUUGUAGCAAAACUUAAGUGAGUGAGACCAAAAGCAAAUGGCCAAAUGAGGAAAUGCAAGGGCUGGUUGGUUUAUGCAGCAUGACAUGGAAAUAAGUCCAACAGGGUGACUUUAAGACUUUGUAACUUGAUGAAUACACAACCAAAUGACAAGGCAAUGCAAACAGUAGAAAGAGGGCAUGGAGCUUAACAUUAUUAACGUUGAACACAACUUGAAAUGAUGAGUGGAAAGAGGUGAAAAUUUUCCAUAAAGUGCAGGUCCAAUAGCUGCAAAAUGGUUGGGCCAGUUUGGCCUAAAUGCUGUCAAAAAAUUCAGUCUAUGAUACCAACUUUAGAUGAGUGUAUCUUUCAAACCAAUGAUCCAAAUGGGAUGAUUCCAAAAGGAAUGUGAAAGGGACAUAGAAAGGCUACAACUGUUUCAUGAAGAAAGUAUUUUCAAAAGAUGCCUUGAGAGUGCGAAGGAAAUCUUGAGCCACAUAAGCUUGCAAAACUGAAGUGAUUGUUGGACUUAGAAAAUUUUCUAAGUGUCCUAAAAAAAUCUAUCCUUAACUUCUUGACCAAGCAUUAACUUUCUCAAUUUAAUCCCAAAUGACAACAAACUUUCAUAUCUCUAGAAAGCUUCCUGCGAACAAGAAGAAACAUUUCAUGUUGGAAGACAUUUCAAAUAAGGGCUUGAUUCUUGAUGGGAAUAUAGGCUUAAGUGUAGGCGUGCAAAAACCAUAAAAACUUGCACCUUCUUAAUGCGGCAAAGUCAACUCAUUUCCACCUCUUCCGUUAACUUUUCCAACUCCUGAUUAAAUGAUGAAUCCAUGAUCCAACCUUGAUCAAAUUUCACAUGUAGGCUCCCUUAGGCAUGAAUUUUGAGAUUCCACUUUCAAAAUGUCAAGAGUUAACUUUUCCGGCCCCACAGUUGACUUUUCCCAAUCUGUAUGAUUCCUGAUUCCAUUGAUCAAUUGAAGCACCUCUAGCUCAAAUAAAGAGCUGAUUUUUGUAUGUAGACCCUUGUGGACAUAUGGAGGGCCAUGGAAAUGAGUUUCACCCAAGGAAUCAGAAAUAGACUGAUUUUAUACCAAACCCUAGUUUUAGGGCAAACUGAUCAGGAACUGAUUGCACUGAUUGCCAAUGGAUAUUUCUGAGAUAAUUGUGGAUCUUCUUAGGCCAAGAUGCCUCUAUAAUCAUGACAUGAAUGAGCCCCUUUUACUUCCAACCAAACAUUGCCUGUUGCAGAUAGCCAUGAAACCCUAAUUUCUGAUUAAAUGCAGAUGCACACUCUGAGAGCUCUGAAUCUUCCACUGGUGAACUGUAGACCAUAAUAAGAUACCUGGACCACCUUGAGACCCUUGAGACUUGUAUAUUUGGAGAAUGAAGUUCAAUUCUCAGUCUUGCUUUGUGUGGGCUCCUUCUGGUAAGGAGUGGUCAAUCAAACCCUGAUUUCCCAAGUCACUGAUGCAGUAUGCAAUGAGUAUGACCUAGUAUGAGGCUAAUACAAUGUGAAACACAAUCCCAUGCUUCCAAUAAAAAUGAAGGGUAAAUUUUAGGGUAUUACAGCUGCCCCUAUUCAAUCAACUAGAGACCCGGAAGGAAGAUAGCAGCGGUUUUCGCACUUUCGAGGUAUCAAAGGAUUGAAUACAAUAAAAAACCCGGAAAUUUACACUGAAGUGAAGUGAAGUAACAAUGCCUGUCAGAAUCGGCAAAGAGGUGGUUUUGAUCUGAAUAUCAACAAAGAAUCCGUCUGGUAUGGUGAGAAUUGGUCUGAACACCGAAAAAAGAGAAUGUCAGCCUGAAUAUCAAAAUAAAUGGUAGCACAAAAAUAACCAUGGCCUGAAUGCCGCUCAUCAGUCUGAAUACUGGGAAUGACUUCGAUCUGAGCAUCAAAAGAUAUUAGGUUACCAAACAUCGGUCUGAACACCGGGAAACUGGCCUGAAUGCCACUUCGGUCUGAAUACCGGAAAAACUGGCCUGAAUGCCACAAGUUGCAUCGACCUGAACGUCAAAAACUUCUUCGAUCUGAAUAUCGAAAAACUGGCCUGAAUGCCACUUCGGUCUGAAGAACGGAAAAUUGGCCUGAAUGCCACUUCGGUCUGAAUACCGGAAAAAACUGGCUUGGAUGCCACUUCGGUCUGAAUACCGGAAAAUUGGCCUUAAUGACAUUUUGGUCUGAAUACCGGAAAAUUUCAUGCCUAUCAGCAUCGGUAGAAAUAGGAAAAAUGAUAAUUGAGGCGGCACGUGGGCCAACGACCUAUGCUGGGGAUAAUAGGUCAUGAACAACCUUCAGUCUGAGCACUGGAAACAAGCUUAUGGUUUAUCACUUGGGAUAUCGUGAAUGUUUUAUGCUUUACAUGCAUAUGUUUGAAUUUUUCGAUGGCGUAAUGCUCCAUGAAAAUGGAAAUCCUACGCGAUUUGGAUGGAUGCAAUGCAAUAUGAUUCUACAUGCAGGGAUGCGAAAUACUAGGGAGAAUGCCAAGCCGAGGCAGGGAAUUCUGCUGGGGAAAAGAUCACAAUCUUCUGGACCCUGGCGAUGCUGUUGGAGAUGCACAGCACAAAGAAACCUGUGGGGAAAGACCAACCACACGGUGUUCCGGCAAUAACAAAAUACCGAGACUCUGACUGGGGAGAGAAUGGCAUUGAAAGUCUGCUGCUGAGGGAAGCGACGGUGGUUCUGGCAACCACAAUCUGCGAGAGAGACGUCUCAGCAGGGGAAGCAAACACUGAUACGGUACCGAGAUUCUGCUUCAAGGAAAGAGACCAAGGGUCUAGUGUCGAGAUCGUCGAUCCGGCAUCGAACUCUGAGGAGCAUUCGCUUCUGUUGGGAAGAUACAAUCUGGCACUGUCAACUCCGCUGGGGAUAUACAGUCUGGCCCUGUCAACUCUACUGGGGAGUGUAUAAUCUGAAACAACCGAUUAGGGGAGUACAGUGGUGAGAACCUGCUGGGGAUUGAAGAAUCCAAUGCUUGGACCAGCUCUACAGGGAUAAGGUACCAAAUACCAAUUGUUGAAGAAAAGCAAUCGCGAUCGUCUGCUGGGAACCUUAAGGAAAUGCCCCAAGUGUACCUGUUCUAAAUAGACGACCCAAAGCACUCAAAAUUUACAGCAAUUUUAAAUGUUUAUUGAGCAUGUACCUGUAAAGCUCUUAUGUUUCAUGAUGCAAUGUUUAUCAAAAAUUCGGACGUCAUUUUUGCAAACAAAACAGUAAAAUGAAAAUGAGAACAGAAAUAUACUGAAUAACAUGAUUUCAUUGAUUGAAUAGCCUCUGAAUAGGCAUCUACAUCAGGAAGCAAUUCCUGGAAAGAGGUAAUUACACAAGAGAUAAAAACAGAGAUUAAUCUAAUAGCAAUGUGAAAUGGAUUUCUAUCGGGUUCCAAUUCUGCUAUGACUCGCUCGUCUUCAAGAUCCUCCAGAUGAUCAGCCUUCUGAAAAAGGUGACUGGACUGUUUCAUAUCCUUCAAAAAUUUCCAAUUAUCGACAUGAGAUGAGAUUCAGAACUACUCAGAACGCAAUCAUUCACUUAAUCCCUAACUUUUGCCUGGAUCACCCUUUCGGGUUUUCAAUCCACCGGGAUACCCAUUUUUGCCUAAGUUGCCUUUUCAGGUUUUCAACUUACCGGGUGUACAAUCUUUUCAUUUUUAAUCCCAGGAUCACCCUUUCGGGUUUUCAAUCCACCGGGAUACCCAUUUUUGCCUAAGUUGCCUUUUCAGGUUUUCAACUUACCGGGUGUACAAUCUUUUCAUUUUUAAUCCCUAACUUUUGCCUGAACCUUUUUUCAAUUUCUUGGUUCGUCGGGAUGCCCAUUUUUGCCUGGACUAUUCUUUGUAUUGUCCAGCGGGUCUGUUUUAUGCGAAGUAUUUUUUAACUGCGUCUGAGUUCACAGGGGAAGUGAAGUCUUCACCAUCCAUCGUUGCAAGCAUUAAGGCUCCACCAUCAAAAAUCUUGGUGACAAUAUAUGGUCCUUCAUAGUUAGGAGUCCACUUGCCCCUGUGAUCUAUCUGAGGAGGAAGGAUCCUUUUCAACACCAAAUCUCCGACUUGGAAACACCGAGGACGCACUUUCUGAUCAAAGGCUCUCUUCAUCCGACCCUGAUACAACUGCCCAUGAAAAAUGGCUGCCAUUCGCUUCUCUUCGAUAAGACUCAACUCGUUGAACCUUGUCCGAAUCCAUUCAGCUUCAUCUAACUUGACAUCCAACAGGACUCUUAGAGAAGGAAUCUCCACUUCAACAGGUAAGGACUGCUUCCAUCCCAUACACAAGGGAGUAAGGGGUUGCCGCCGAUAGAUGCGUACUGAAGUACGGUACCCAUGCAAGGCGAAGGGUAGCAUCUCAUGCCAAUCUCUGUACGUAACAACCAUCUUCUGCACAAUCUUCUUUAUGUUCUUAUUUGCUGCCUCAACAGCACCGUUCAUCUUGGGACGAUAAGGGGAAGAAUUGUGAUGCUGAAUGUUGAAGUUCUGGCACAACUCCUUCAUCAUUUUGUUAUUGAGAUUAGAACCAUUAUCAGUAAUGAUUCUUUCGGGAACCCCAUAACGACAAAUAAUUUCUUUCUUAAUGAAUCGGGCAACCACAUGUCUGGUGACCUUCGCAAAUGACGCUGCUUUGACCCACUUGGUGAAAUAAUCGAUGGCAACAAGGAUGAAGCGAUGCCCAUUGAAGGCAGUCGGCUCAAUCUUUCCAAUCAUAUCAAUGCCCCACAUAGCAAACGGCCAUGGCGAAGACAUCACAUUCAGAGGAUUUGGCGGCACAUGCACCUUAUCAGCAUAAAUCUGGCAUUUAUGGCACUUCCGAGCAUAUUUGAAACACAUCAGAUUCAUGGUCAUCCAGUAUAACCCGCUCUCAACAAUUUCUUAGCCAUUGCAUGUCCAUCGGCGUGAGUACCGAAGGUGCCUUCAUGAACUUCUCUGCUAUUAACAUGUCCGCUUUGUGUCUAUCCACGCAUCUGAGAAAACCAUGUCGAAGUUCCUCUUAUACAGCACAUCAUCUUUGUUCAAGAAGAAACUGCCUGCCAAUCUUCUCAAAGUCUUUCUGUCAUUGUUGGAUGCCCCUGCAGGGUACUCUUGAUUCUUCAGAAAGCACUUGAUGUCGUAAUACCAGGGCUUGUCAUCAACCACCAGUUCAGCAGCAAACACAUACGCGGCCCUAUCAAGGCGCAUAACAUCAAUCCUGGGAGCAUGGUUCCACCGAAUCACCUUGAUCAUGGAUGAUAGAGUAGCAAGAGCAUCCGCCAUCUGGUUCUCAUCACGAGGUAUAUGAUAUAGCUUUACUGUUGUGAAGAAAGUCAACAGUCUUCUCGUGUAAUCUCUGUAAGGGACCAGAGUAGGCUGGAGAGUAUUCCAAUCACCGUUCACUUGAUUGAUCACCAGAGCUGAAUCUCCGAAGAUGUCUAGAGUUUUGAUUCUCAAAUCAAUGGCUUGCUCAAUUCCCAAGAUGCAGGCCUUAUAUUCAGCUUCAUUAUUGGUGCACUCGAAAGUCAAACGAGCGGUGAAAGGCAUGUGGGCACCUUUCGGAGUAGUAAUGACAGCACCAAUUCCACUUCCUUUGGCAUUGACGGCCCCAUCAAACGUUAAAGUCCAUUUUUCAUCUGGAUUAGGUCCCUCCUCAACGGCUGGCUCUUCUCAAUCUUUCAUCUUGAGGAACAUGAUGUCUUUAUCUGGAAAAUCAAACUUCAAUGGCUCAUAAUCAUCAAUCGGUUGUUAAGCAAGAUAGUCUGACAGAAUACUCCCUUCGAUGGCUUUUUGGGAUGUAUACUGGAUGUCGUACUCUGUCAGUACCAUUUGCCAAGGAGCAACCCUUCCGGUGAGAGUUGGCUUCUCGAAUAUAUACUUGACUGGAUCCAUCUUGGAGAUCAGUAAGGUUGUGUGAGUCAGCAUGUAUUGUCUCAAACGCUUGGCAGCCCAUGCAAGGGCACAACAUGUCUUUUCAAGCAUUGAGUAUCUCGACUCGCAAUCUGUGAAUUUUUUACUCAGGUAGUAAAUGGCAUGCUCUUUUCUACCUGUCUCGUCGUGUUGACCGAGAACACAACCCAUGGAAUUGUCGAGUACUGUCAAGUACAUAAUCAGCGGUCUCCCUGGGACUGGAGGCAUGAGGAUGGGAGGAUUCUGCAAAUACUCUUUUAUCUUUUCAAAAUCCCUCUGACAAUCAUCAUUCCACCUGAUAGCCUGAUCUUUUUUUAACAACUUAAAAAUUGGCUCACACGUGGCGGUUAGGUGAGAGAUGAACCUUGCAAUGUAGUUCAACCUUCCUAAGAAACCACGGACUUGCUUCUCUAUUCUUGGCUCAGGCAUUUCUUGUAUUUCUUUCACUUUGAUAGGAUCCACCUCAAUCCCUUUUUCACUAACAAUGAAACCCAGUAGUUUUCUAGAUCUCACCCCGAAAGUGCACUUGUUCGGAUUAAGCCUCAGCUUGAAUUUCCUCAACCGUUCAAACAGUUUCCGUAGAUUCACCAAAUGUUCUUCUUCUGUCUGAGAUUUGGCAAUCAUAUCAUCCACAUAAACCUCGAUUUCAUGAUGAAUCAUAUCAUGGAAAAGAGUUACCAUAGCUCGUUGAUAUGUUGCCCCAGCGUUCUUCAGGCCAAACGGCAUCACCUUGUAGCAGAAGGUGCCCCAUGGGGUUAUGAAAGUUGUCUUCUCCAUGUCUUCUGGUGCCAUCUUAAUCUGAUUAUAGACAGAAAAGCCAUCCAUGAAGGAGAAUACCGAGAACUGAGACGUGUUAUCCACCAAAACGUCGAUGUGAGGUAAUGGGAAAUCAUCUUUAGGACUAGCUCUGUUCAGAUCCCAGUAGUCAACACACAUCAGUACUUUUCCAUCCUUCUUAGGCACGGGAACGAUGUUUGCAACCCAUGGCGGAUAAUUGGUAACUGCUAGAAACCCUGCAUCCAACUGCUUUUACACUUCUUCUUUUAUCUUGACAGCCAUCUCUGGUCUUGUUCUUCUGAGCUUCUGCUUGACCGGAGGACAACCCUCUUUGAGAGGCAAAUGGUGCACCACAAUGUAUGUGUCAAGCCCUGACAUAUCCUGAUAAGACCAGGCGAAGAUGUCAACAUACUCUUGCAGCAGUUCAAUCAACCCCUUCUUCACAUCAUCUUCCAAAGAAGCCCCUAUCUUGAUUUCUCUCUUGGCGCCCUUGGUGCCGAGAUUAAUCACUUCAGUAGACUCUUGAUGCGGUUGAAUGACCAUUUCCUCUUGUUUUAACAACCUGGCAAGUUCUUCAGGGAGUUCACAGUCUUCAUCACCCUCUUCUUCAGCUUGAAAGAUCGGAUUUUCAAAGUCGAAGCGAGCCAUAGCAGAACCGUUAUCAAUAGGAUCCGGUGACGUGCAUCUGCAUGAGUGAUGGUAUGUGCUUAUGAGUGUGAACAGUGAGUGAAAACUAAACAAAACAUUGCCAAAUAUUUUUUGAUUUUUGGUUUUUGAAAACUGCAAAAAUAGAAAGACAGUGAACAAAAUUUUGAAUGCAAAAGACGUCCUUUAUUUAUGAUAAAAAAUGCAAGUAGUCACAUAGAUGAGCCCUACAAUGAGUCAUUACGCCCUGGGCGGAACGUAAGACUUGGACAUGCAUGAACAAACAAGAAAAAUUACUCUUCAAGAAGAGUGACUUGAACAAUCUCCUCAGAAGACCAAUUGUUGAUGACCUCACCCGGGAUCCUCGGACGCAUCCAGUUGUCAAUGUCGCAAUCACUAUCCCCGGCUUCUUCGUUGAUUGUUAAUAUCUGGCCAUACUGAAUGAUGCCAGCACUGGAGAAAGUAAUCGGCCCCUGACGAGUCUGAGGCGCUGAAGUUGUAGAAGUAAGAGCUGGCUGAUACCCAAUCCCGAACUUGUCUUCUUUCAUCGGUAACUCCAACAGACGUCCCCAACCGGGAGCAACACCUGAAUCUACCACUGCUUGUGCCUGCUUGAAGGACGAGAUAGAGGCACCUACUUUAACCUCUUCCACCGGAGCUGCAUCCCUGACUUGGUCAUCAACUGUCUUUAUGGUCAUCCAGUUAUGGACAAUUUUUGAUCAACAAUAAAGCAAUCGACUCUACAUCUAGGGUCCAUAGUGGUUUCAGGUAGAAGGAUGGUAUACACCACUAUCACCAUGAGAAUAACUUAUGACACUUUGCAUAACAUUCUAUGUAGUAUUCUCAUAGCGGGUCAAUCCAGUAUAAAUAUUACUCCUGAUAUUCAUACAUAUGUUUAAGACUUGAUAACUCUUUAUCCAUGAUCCAUGAGAUGUGAUCAUCAGUCUAUAUACAUAAUAGUCUCAAUGCUUUAAUAUUAUCUCACUUCAUAACAAAGCUCGACUAUGGAUACUUUAAGAAUAAUGACCUUAUGUUUAAUGGGAUCUCAUGAUUAAGUCACACUUGAUACAUUAAACAGACUAGCUAGUCUAGGGACUUUAUUAAACAAACAUAAUAAAGAAUUUUUUUUUAUUAUUAAUAAAUAAUUUGAUACAAGUACCGAAAAUAUUGGCCUCUAGGGCUUACACCAAAGAUGUUUACCUAGAAUAAUACAUUCUUUACAUAGAAUAUUAAAAUAAAAAUUAAUUAGUCUAUAAAGAUCAUAUGUUAGAUCUUUGAAUCCUUGAUAUUUGAGCAAGAUGAAAUGUUGGGUGCGAAUAUAUUCGCAAUGGCUUUAUCUCACAUGGAUUUAUUUCUGAUAUAAAAAAAAGACUUGAUAAAAAAAGGGUUGAUAAAAAAAAGGUUAGAUAAAUAAAUGAUUUUUGCUCAAAUAAAUAUUUAAGAACACAGUCCUUAAACCCAAAUAAUUUUAUGCUCUUGCAAUCCAUCUUAGCGAUCUUUUCAUGGCAAAUGAUCUUCCAAAUCUUAAAGAUGUGGAUGUAGAUAGUUUCAAGCGCUUCAUGAUGAUUCACUUGCUUCUUCAUAUUCAUAAAUAUGCUUUUAUAAUGUAAUUUUUUUAUGUUUCACGCGGAUCACUAAUGGUAGUGUCUUGAGCAUUGAUAGUCAUGAAAUAAACCAUAAAUAUUUGAUCAACAUAAUCACUCAUGGUUUUUUAUGUUUAGGUAACAUACUUUAACCCUCGUUUUAAUAGAAAAUUGAGGUAAAUAAUUUAUUUAUUUUUAUAUUUCAUUAAUUAUAAAGAAUAUUAACAAAAUUUUAUUAUUUUAUAGUAAAAUCUGUUUAUUUUAUCUCUCGGUUAUUAGGGCGACCGACGUGAUAGAUCAUUUAGUUUACAAAUAAAAAAGAAAGAUUCAUGGAUUGUUGGUAAUAUGUGGUUUUUCCCCUCGGUAAUAUGAAAAACCCAAGGUAAUAUAUGGUUUUUAUAUUUUUUUUUAAAUAAAACAUUGUGCCUUGGAAUCAUAUCACUAGAAUAAUAAUUAUCAUCCCUAUUUAAAACGUAACGUAUCUUUUGGAUUUUCAAGGAUGUGUUUGAGCUUCUCUGAUUAUUUCACUUCCUCUUUUUCAACUUAUUUAUACACUAUUAAGGUCUCAUUUCAUUUUCAUUUCUUUAUGUCUUCAAAUCUAAUUUAAAUGUCUUUUCUUUUUAUUCAAAAAAUGUCUACAAAAACCUUCAACAGAGAUGGAAAUGUUUUGUUCGUUAUCAAUGAAAAAUUUGUUAAGUUCGAUGAGUUGAAAGACAAAGAUUUUGAUCUAAUGAAAACUAUUUCCAAACAAAAGUUGAAAGGUUACUUUAACAUGCUUCAUGGACUCAUCUACACUAAUCUCAUAACAGAAUUCUGGUUAAAUACCUCUGUUAGGCAAUCUAGUCAGACAAUACAGUCCAAUGUAUAUGAAUUUCCUAUAACUAUUACUCGGACACUUAUUGCUCAGACAAUAAAGCGUGACGAGAAAGGUAGUUAUGUUGAACAUUGUAGAUUCAAAAAUUUCUUCUCAACCCACCUUCGCCUCAUUUAUGUCAACUACAAUAAGCUCAUCAGUUCUGAUACUCUCAUCCCAAUUGCAAAAGCUUGACAUUAACUUCUAGUGUCAAAUCUCCAUCAAAGAGAGAAACAACUAGAAAUGCUUAUUUCAGAUGACAAACAUCUUUUGUACUUCCUUAUCCAUAACGUCAAAAUUAAUCUUCCUCUUAUUAUUUUUAACUUCUUAAUGGAAAUGGUUGUGACCUCUCGCGAGGAAAUGACUUUCCUCAUACCAUAUGGAAGAGUUUUUUCUGAACUUUUCUCUCAGUUAGGGAUAGUUAAAAGGGUAAAAAGAGCAUGAUUAACUAUUGAAGUUGAGUGGAGAUAGAAGUUUGAAUAUGUGGAAUAUUUAUCUGUUGUCCUGUUUUUUUGUAAUAUGUAAUUGAUUAUCAAUGAAAUUUUUUCUUUCCUUUUCAAUCGUAGAUUGCCUAACAUUUUUUAUGAUAGCAAAUAUUUUGAGUUUUACUAAUUAACUUAUUAAGAAAUGAAGAAAAAAAAUUUAACAAAGAAAAUAUGGAAACUGGAAAGGCGUCAAGUGAGAAAUAGUAAUUAAACCAUUAAGAAAAAAACAUAAAAAUGAAGUAACCGGGAUUUGAAGCGACCUCCCUAAUAUUUAUAUUCCAAAAAACCGAGGUAAUAGGUUAUAUUAAAAAUAAAAUAACGCUCCCUUAUAGAUAUCUUCCCUCGGUUUUAUGGAAAACUAAGGUAACAAGUUGUUAGUUUGACGCUACCAGGAACUAUACUCUCGGUUUUUAGCAUGUUCGAGGUGAAAGUUUCAUCAUAAAAAGUGUUAUUUAUAGUAGUGACACUAAAAAAUUUAUGGCACUAACCUUGAUAUAUCCUUCCACAUUUUUUGUGCGAUUGCUCUUGUUUUUUCAGCCAUUUAUUAGACCCCAAACCCUAAGUUUUGACCUCUAAGAGUCCCAAAAUAUACCAUACAUCACUGUACAUGAAAACAUAUGAAUAUUUAUCAUAUUUUAACAUCUAACUCAAUAAUACAUCAUUUAUCUAUGACUAACAUACAAUUCACACAAUUCAUCAUGGAUUCAUCGUAGCAACACAUAUAAGCACAAGGUCCAUCAAUAAUCUUCAAUAAUUCAUCAAAAAUCAUUUAUAAGAAGAAAAAACUAAGAACCCUAAUGAGGUUAAGGCUCCUCAUCACUACCCCAUCAUGAAAUACGCCUAAUUGGUAGCCAUUUCUCCCUUUACCUUAGAUUUCUAGCAAUUUAUGUCAAAACAAGCAACUUUUAUGGCUUGCCUCUUCAAAAUCCUAGCUUUUGCUCUUCUCCCUUCCAAAAGCUCUUUCUCUCCUCUUUGCCUUCUAUCUCAAUUUUCACGUACUGAUAAAACUAGGCAAGUCUCCUCUUACUCCCAAUAUAUCCUUAUGGUUUUCUACACUACUAUUUCCAAUUACCUCAUUAAUCCCCAAUGUUCUUAAUUCACAUUAUUUCCCAACUCCCUAACUUCUUGCUCCUCUCUAUUUCUCCAAAUCCCAUAAAUGGUCCAAUUCUAUCAUUUUACUAUUUUAUUUAAUUAAUCUAAAUAAAAUUUUAUUUAUUCUAAUAAUUAAUUAAAGUUCUAGUUAAUUCUAAACAAUCACAUUAAACUCUUACUCUCUUUAUACCUCUACUUCAAAGACACUUACCCCCAUCACCACACAACAAAUAAUUAAAACACCAAUCAAUCAAAUAAAAUUAUAAAUAAUCUAAUUAAAAUAAUUCAUCGAAUUUGGAGAUUUACAUCCUACAUUUUCGGCAAUAUAAUUUUCUCAUCAUAAACAUCUAUGUCUUCAAAUCCUUGAAUGUUAAAUUCUUUAGCCUUCUUCCAUGUAAUCGCAACAACAUCUUCUAAUCUUCUUUUCCAGAAUCUUGAAUUACCUCUCACCAUGUCAGAAUCUGACAUGGACUAACAACACAAUGCUAUUCCUCUUGAGAAAUUAUCUUGCGUUGAGCGAAAAAGAUCAAUUGGAACCUUUGUUCCACCUAUAAUCUCCUUCUGAAAAUGCAAAUAAGAAGGCCAAAUGUAAAAAAUAAGAGUCUUGAGCAACGUCAACCCCUUUAGCGUUCAAAAACGAUGAAACACCCCUUGUUUUUUUCGGGCUUCUUUAGGGCUUGGGUUUGAUGAUUCCCAAAGCAACUACUUGCACACGACUGAUUUGGUAGAACUACUCUUUUAUUAAAAUUGGAUAUCCUUUUUGUUUUGUUAAUUUUUCAAUUUUUUAUAUUUUGAAUUAAAAUGUUUGAAUUUUUGGUUGAAGAACCUUGUGUAAAGAUGAUGAAGAUUUGUGAAUAUGAUGAUGGAGGUAGAGAUUAAGGAAGUCAAUUAAAAAGAUAUAAAAAAUUUAUGAUUCAUUAUUAUAUUAACAGAAAUAAUAUAUUUACAUCUGAUUGUACACCUACAUCAUAUCAAAAUAUAUAUAUAUAUAUAUAUAUAUAUACAUUAAUAAAUUUAUUUGAAAUAUUAUGAUAUUAAAUAAUUUUAAAAAUAAUAUAUAAAAUUAUUAUUAUUGUUAUUUAAAUUAAAGAGGUAUCGAUAUAAAAAUGUGUGAUUAAUCAACUUUAUAAUUUUAUUAACUAACAUUUUAUAUUUUAUUAAUCAAUUUUAUUUUAUUAAUAAAAAUUAUUUUUAAUAUCUUAAAAUUUAUUAAUCAACUUCAUCACUUUACUAACCAAUUUUUUAAUUUUCAUUAAACAACUUUAUUUUACUAUUAAAAACUCCUUUUUAAUAUCUAAGCGUUUAUUAACCAACUUCAUCACUUUAUUAAUCUAUUUUUUAUAUUUUAUUAACCAAUUUUAUUUUACUAUAAAAUAAACAUUGUUCAUGCACUAUGCACGAACACAUAGGUACUAUUCACAUGUGUACACGGGUACUGUUCACACAUAGGUACUAUUCACAUGAUAUUGUUUUCACAUGAUAUUGUUCAUAUAUUGUUCAUGUAUUUUUCAUUGUUCAUGAUCUUGUUCACUGUAUUUGUGAAUAAUACAUACGGUAUAGUAUAUGAUAUUGAAUAAUACAUACGGUAUAGUAUAUGAUAUUGAUGUAAACAUAACACUCAUCUUAUAUUAAAUAGACUUUCACUGUAUUCAUCACUUUAUUAACCAAUUUUUUACUUUUCAUUAAACAACUUUAUUAUACGGUAUAGUAUAUGAUAUUGAUGUAAACAUAACACUCAUCUUAUAUUAAAUAGACUUUCACUGUAUUCAUCACUUUAUUAACCAAUUUUUUACUUUUCAUUAAACAACUUUAUUUUACUAUUAAAAACUCUUCUUUAAUAUCUAAGCGUUUAUUAACCAACUUCCUCACUUUAUUAAUCAAUUUUUUAUAUUUUAUUAACCAAUUUUAUUUUACUAUAAAAUAAACAUUGUUCAUGCACUAUGCACGAACACAUAGGUACUAUUCACAUGUGUACAGGGGUACUGUUCACACAUAGGUACUAUUCACAUGAUAUUGUUUUUACAUGAUAUUGUUCAUAUAUUGUUCAUGUAUUUUUCAUUGUUCAUGAUCUUGUUCACUGUAUUUGUGAAUAAUACAUACGGUAUAGUAUAUGAUAUUGAUGUAAACAUAACACUCAUCUUAUAUUAAAUAGACUUUCACUGUAUUCAUCACUUUAUUAACCAAUUUUUUACUUUUCAUUAAACAACUUUAUUAUACGGUAUAGUAUAUGAUAUUGAUGUAAACAUAACACUCAUCUUAUAUUAAAUAGACUUUCACUGUAUUCAUCACUUUAUUAACCAAUUUUUUACUUUUCAUUAAACAACUUUAUUUUACUAUUAAACUCUUCUUUAAUAUCUAAGCGUUUAUUAACCAACUUCAUCACUUUUAUUAAUCAAUUUUUUUAUAUUUUAUUAACCAAUUUUAUUUUACUAUAAAAAAAACAUUGUUCAUGUACUAUGCACGAACACAUAGAUACUAUUCACAUGUGUACAGGGGUACUGUUCACACAUAGGUACUAUUCACAUGAUAUUGUUUUCACAUGAUAUUGUUCAUAUAUUGUUCAUGUAUUUUUCAUUGUUCAUGAUCUUGUUCACUAUAUUUGUGAAUAAUACAUACGGUAUAGUAUAUGAUAUUGAUGUAACAUAACACUCAUCUUAUAUUAAAUAGACUUUCACUGUAUUCAUCACUUUAUUAACCAAUUUUUUACUUUUCAUUAAACAACUUUAUUUUACUAUUAAAAACUAUUCUUUAAUAUCUAAGCGUUUAUUAACCAACUUCAUCACUUUAUUAAUCAAUUUUUUAUAUUUUAUUAACCAAUUUUAUUUUACUAUAAAAAAAACAUUGUUCAUGCACUAUGCACGAACACAUAGGUACUAUUCACAUGUGUACAGGGGUACUGUUCACACAUAGGUAUUAUUCACAUGAUAUUGUUUUCACAUGAUAUUGUUCAUAUAUUGUUCAUGUAUUUUUCAUUGUUCAUGAUCUUGUUCACUGUAUUUGUGAAUAAUACAUACGGUAUAAUAUAUGAUAUUGAUGUAAACAUAACACUCAUCUUAUAUUAAAUAGACUUUCACAAUUCAAACGAAUAACAUUUAGCGAAAAUAUUCAAUAGUUAAAAAGAAAAAAGUAAAUUUAUAUUGGAUUAUCAAUAAUAUUCUUCCACUUUAAAUAUUUAGAAUUGAAAUUUGAAGGAAUAAACUAAUUUGACUAAUAAAGAUUAAACUAUAAUGUAACAUAUAUUAAUUAUGAAAUUAAUAUAAAUUAAAUAAUUAAGUUAAAGAAAUAAAUUAUAAUUAAACUUUUUAUAUAUUUUUUUAAUUUGUGUAGAUUCACAUGUGGACCGGCUAUUUUCAAAUAAAAAACAUAAAUUUUAAUAAACUACUUAUUGUUGUUGUAGUUGAGUCAAAUAAAUAAAUAAAGGGUAAUGCUAACUUGUGCCAUAAAGAAACAAAGUUUUGGAAAUUGUGGAUUGAUCGUUCUCUGCACUAUGCACGAACACAUAGGUACUAAUUUAAAAAGAGUAUUAUUAAAUCUCUGGGAAAAAACUAUUGAUCGUUCUCCUCUAUAUCUUUUAGCUUUGAUCUUCGUGUCACUAAUAUGAAUAUAAGGAGCUAAUUAUAAAUAUAACUAUCACAUGUAAAAAAAAACCCUCCCCACAACCAAUCUUACAAAUAAAUUUAGCUUUGAGGACUUCGCUUUAACUAUACGCUAAAUAUAUGAAGAAUUUUGAGUCACAUUACAUACAUUUUCUUUUCCUUCUUAAUUUUAUUUCAAGAUCUCCCUCUUCAUCUUCAAACUUGUUAAUAAAUCCUUAAAAAUGUAAAGAGUAUUAAAAUAUAUCAUUUUCUAUAUAGUUAUGCUCAAAUCUAAUUUUUUACUUACUAAUAGAAGUUUGUAAUAUUAAUAAAAUAUAUAUUUAAAUAAUAAUAAGUAUAACUAAUAAUUUAAAUUUUAGCUUAUAUUCAAGAACAAAGAGUUUUUAUAAAGUUUAUAAUUAUGACCUAGAUAUUAUACUAAUAAACUUAUUUUAUGUUAAAUAAUAAUAAGUAUAACUAAUAAUUUAAAAUUUAGCUUAUAUUCAAGAACAAAGAGUUUUUAUAGAGUUUAUAAUUAUGAUCUAUAUAUUAUACUAAUAAACUUAUUUUAUGUUAAAUCUGGUUUACCACAUGUCAAAGUUUGAAAGUUUAGUCGGUACUUGAUUUAUAAUUAUUAACAGUAGUUUUCUUGUUCUUUAAGUGGUUAUUCAGAGGGAGAAAUUAUGUCAAUCAUAUGUGUGGGUUCCUUAUCUACUUUAAAGAAUGUUAAAUAUGUAUAUGAGAAGUUGAACUAAUAUUCUAAGAAAUGCAUAAAAAAUAAAAGAAACUAAAAGACAUAAAAUGCGUAAAAUAAUUUAUUUUAUUGAUCAAAUCUUGUUAACUAUUUACAAAGUGUGACAUUUAUAGAGGAAAUUGUCACACUAGUCAUAUCACUGUGACAAGUAAACAAUGUUCUCACGAUCAAAUAUUUAUGUGGGUAAUGCGUGAGUGUUUAUACUAAUUUAGGAUAUGUGACACCUCACAUUUCCUAACAUGUAGUUAUAGAAUCAACGCUUUAUUUGGUUAAUGGAGCUAGAAACACUAAAUGUAGACAUAAUCCCAACUAUCCAGUCUUAUUGUGCUUUUGAAUGUGUUUAGAUUCUUUUCAUCCAUAAUAGACAUAGUAGAUAUGAUAAAGAUUUGGUUAGCUCAUGUUCAGGUUUUUUAUACUCAUCUGACUCUUCCUGGGUUGGGAAACCUUCGAUUAGUCCUAAACUCUUCUAUUUGCCAAAUUUCAACUGAUGUUUUAGCUUUUUAGGUGUAAACAAAUGUAUUAAUGUAUUUCAUUGUCAAGUAAUCUUCUCGAUUAUCAAAAGUAUUCUAUUGAGUCUAAUGUCUUUCUUUUUUGGGCAUAUUCUCUAGAUAAGUUGGUUUUUGUACCCCUAUCAAGAAGCAUGGAUUCUUCUUCCCAAAAUUAAAAUCUUGCUAUAUCCUUUUUCCAUGUGCAAGACAAUGUUACUUUAUAUCCUUAUACACGUGAUGUGGCUUCUAGAGCUUUCUUCUUUGAACCCACUAAAUCAAUACUUCCUUUUUAUUAUGUUUGGUUACUACCAAAAGAAAGUCGACUGAGUUUACAACACAUCCUCAUCCAUCUAUUGAUAAUCUAACUUGACUUUGUAGGGUUGAAGUUUCUAAAUGACACAUUUAGAAGAGAACGAGUAUUUAAAAGAUGAACAUGAUUCCUAGGAAAGAUGUGAGGAUUGAUGUGGAACAUCUUUUUAGCCUCCUAGUAUAUUGGUUUGCAAUUUGUAAUUCUUUUUUCAGUUGGGAUAUCAUGACCCAAUUACCUUGAUGUAAUCAUCAUCAUUGGCUUGCCCACCCUCAAAAUUGAGGCUUGUAAAACCCAUGAUACUCAUAUCCCUUCUCAAGAUUUUUAAUUUUUGAGGGAUAUUUCCAACUACGAUGCCUUUUUGAAUCAUAACAUUUGAACCACAAAGAAUAUUACAAAAGUAGAGCGUAAUGUGUUUUUGCUCUUCUAGUUUAGCAAAUUUUUUCGUUUGCACAAGUUUUGUAGUCGUCGUUUAGGAAUUGAAAUUAUAUGUUGCUUUAUUGUAGUCCAACUCAAUUAUAACAAAGGGAUAUUUUCUUAUGUUCUCCUAUACCAUUCCUUACACACCAUAAUAGUUUGGUUGAUGGGGAACUCAGAAAUAAAGAACGUGAGUGGGCUACUCUAGUUCCACCAACUCUACUCUUUGCUAUACUUUUUACGGGUUUUGAUUAAAGAAUUUAAUCUUAGCUUAAUUCCAGAAAUGAAAAACAUUAAGGAGAAUACUAAAAUGUUUUGCAAAUGAUAAUGACUUUUUCUCUUCCAUCGUGAUUUGGUUAUUGCCAUUGACCUAUAAUUAACCCAGUUGAAUCUCAGACGUGUUAAAAGAGUGCAACCUGUCUUGGACGUUCGAUGUAGAAAACGAAACCCUUUUGCAUCAAUCAUUAUAAACUAUUAAUAAUAACUGGUCGAGAAUCCGGACAAAAAGAGUUUUGCUAUACGAACUUCACCCUAAUAAAAGGAAGAAAAAGAUUUCAGUUGAAUGGAUAAUAGACAAUUUUGUAGUUCCAUGGAUAAUAGACAAUAACCUUAAUACAACCGAUGUGGAAAAAAUGUGUUAACUAAGCAUAAAAAAAAUCACUCAUUUUUUGAUGACAGCAUUUCUUGUUCCAUAGGAGAAACAAACUGCUUUGCAAAUUGGUGGCAUCUUUUAAAAGGCAAUGUCUAUAAGGAGGUGAUCCUUUAAGGCUUUGAGUUUUGCUUGCUAAUUUAGAUAUGAUUCUCCCAAAUACAUAUGAGAAACAUGUUACAUUAAAAUCCUUUAAUUAAAUUACUAAGUGAGUUGGGAAUUAUUCACACACAAGCAAAAUCUUUAAUUUGAAUAUUAUGAGAAAUAUAUAGAUUAACUUUAAAAGCAUCAUUUAUGAUAGAAAUCCAAACUUCUAGAUUUGUCUUAGUGAGUUAAUUUAUAUAAGCUUCAUGACUAUGAAUAUCAUGAGCAAUAACUCUUGUAUGAGAAGAAAUAUAAUGCCACCAUUCAACACAAAGAUUUGAAUAUUGUGUAAUGUAGUUUAUAAUAAGAUAGUUAAAUAAAUGUAUGCGCUCGGUGUAAAAGAAACUAAUUUAUACAUAUAGAGUUAAAAAUCAUGAGUUUGAGUUUAAAAAAAAAGAAUGAAAAUGAGUAAUGUAAAAUAAGUUAGUUAAAUAAAAUGAUGAAUAUAUUAUUAUUAUAUAAAUAUAUUGUUGAGAGUGAGAGGGGUUUGUUGUUGAGUUGAGUCCCCAAUCAGCGAGAUUCUCUCUCUCCACACUUUUCUUUUUCUGUGUGUCCGUUGGAACCAAACAGUUCUCUUUCUCUCUCCUUUCUUUGUCAAACAAACACACAGACAACACACAAACACACACUCCCUUUCAUUCUUUUUCUUCACUCUCUCCCACUCUCUCUAUCUCUUUCACACACAUUACAUUACACAACCCUUUUUCUUUUUCUUCUUCCACCGUAACAUGACCACACUCUUUACAAUCACACACCACCAUUUACGGUUAUGAAUCCCCAACCACAAACUCAACAACAACCACCACCACCACCACAACAACAACCACCUCCACCGCCACAGCUUCAACCAAACCGUCCCUCCACCUCCUGUGACAUCCACCCUCAAGAGACUUUCACAGGCUUCUGCCCUUCAUGCCUAUGCGAACGCCUCGCCGUUCUCGAUCCAAACAACAACAACAACGCCUCCUCCUCUUCCACCUCCAACCGCAAACCGCCCACUUCCUCCACUGCCGCCGCUGCACUUAAAGCCAUUUUCCGUCCUUCCACUUCCCAGCGCA
rnacentral:lncRNA from 1 species